rnacentral:rRNA from 1 species
CCCUUAGAUGUUCUGGGCCGCACGCGCGCUACACUGACGAAUGCAACGAGCUUAUAACCUUGGCCGAAAGGUCUGGGUAAUCUCCAAAUUUCGUCGUGAUGGGGAUAGAUUAUUGCAAUUAUUAAUCUUCAACGAGGAAUGCCUAGUAAACGCAAGUCAUCAGCUUGCAUUGAUUACGUCCCUGCCCUUUGUACACACCGCCCGUCGCACCUACCGAUUGAAUGGUCCGGUGAAAUCUCGGGACGGCGGCUUGGUCGCUUGCGUCCGACUGCUGAAACUUGAUUAAACCAUAUCAUUUAGAGGAAGGUGAAGUCGUANCA